GUGCCAAGGAUGUAGGACUGCUGCUUAAUUUGAUGUGUGAUUCCAACACUUUUACAUAACAAAAAUGUUUCCAACUGAAGACAGUUAAUUGAAUUUUUUCCAGGACAUGGUAAACUGAGCUUAAUUUCUUUAAGAAAAUUCAAGCAUUUCACUCCUUCCAGAUUUUCCAACAAAUAAUAACAAUCAACUGAUCGGUAGCUCUUCCCAAAGAUUGCUGAAAUUUCUUAUUUCUCCAAGUGGUCCAAAGAUCGGCAAUGCAGUUAGGCCAUCCUAUAAGGUUCAAUUGCACCCUUAUGAUCGUAUAUAAACUACAAGCAUAUGGACACCUAAUCAAUAAAUAUGAUAUUGUUUGAGAUCUUCCUCCAUAGAGAACACAACUACUGUGUAUGGAUACGGCUGGAAUAAGUCGAGGACC
rnacentral:lncRNA from 1 species